rnacentral:rRNA from 1 species
UACAGAGGUCCCGAGCGUUGUUCGGAUUCAUUGGGCGUAAAGGGUGCGUAGGUGGCGCCGUAAGUGGGGUGUGAAAUCCCGGGGCUUAACCCCGGGACUGCAUUCCAUACUGCAGUGCUUGAGGACUGGAGAGGAGACUGGAAUUUACGGUGUAGCAGUGAAAUGCGUAGAGAUCGUAAGGAAGACCAGUGGCGAAGGCGGGUCUCUGGACAGUUCUUGACACUGAGGCACGAAGGCCAGGGGAGCAAACGGG